rnacentral:rRNA from 1 species
GAUGAACGCUGGCGGCGUGCCUAAUACAUGCAAGUCGAGCGGAAACACUUCGGGUGUCGAGCGGCGGACGGCUGAGUAACGCGUAGGAACGUACCCCAAAGUGAGGGAUAACUGCUCGAAAGAGUAGCUAAUACCGCAUGUGGUCUUCGGAUUAAAGCUUCGGCGCUUUGGGAACGGCCUGCGUAAGAUUAGCUUGUUGGUGAGGUAAUGGCUCACCAAGGCUACGAUCUUUAGCUGGUCUGAGAGGAUGAUCAGCCAGACUGGGACUGAGACACGGCCCAGACUCCUACGGGAGGCAGCAGUAGGGAAUCUUCCACAAUGGGCGAAAGCCUGAUGGAGCAACGCCGCGUGCAGGAUGAAUGCCUUAGGGUUGUAAACUGCUUUUAUAUGUGAAGAUUUUGACGGUAGCAUAUGAAUAAGGAUCGGCUAAUUCCGUGCCAGCCGCCGCGGUAAGAC